rnacentral:rRNA from 1 species
GAUGAACGCUGGCGGCGUGCUUAACACAUGCAAGUCGAGCGAGAAGUUUUGAAAAGAUUCUUCGGAUGAAAUUUAAAAUGGAAAGCGGCGGACGGGUGAGUAACGCGUAGGCAACCUGCCCCAUACAAAGGGAUAGCAUUUGGAAACGAAUAUUAAUACCUUAUGAAACUUAACUAGUGCAUGCUAGGUAGGUCAAAGAUUUAUCGGCAUGGGAUGGGCCUGCGUCUGAUUAGCUAGUUGGUGAGGUAACGGCUCACCAAGGCGACGAUCAGUAGCCGACCUGAGAGGGUGAACGGCCACAUUGGAACUGAGACACGGUACAAACUCCUACGGGAGGCAGCAGUGGGGAAUAUUGCACAAUGGGGGAAACCCGGAUGCAGCAACGCCGCGUGAACGAUGAAGGCCUUUGGGUCGUAAAGUUCUGUUCUAGGUGAUGAAAACUGACAGUAACCUAGGAGAAAGCCCCGGCUAACUCCGUG